rnacentral:rRNA from 1 species
AUUGAACGCUGGCGGCAGGCCUAACACAUGCAAGUCGAGCGGCGCGGCGAACGGGUGAGUAAGGACUAGGAAUGUGCCCGGUAGUGAGGGAAAAAGUCGGGAAGCGGGCGCCAAUACCACAUACUAUCAGGUGAGUCUCGGUUGGAUUAGAUAGUUGGUGGGGUAAAGGCCUACCAAGGCGACGAUGCGGAACUGGCCUGAGAGGAUGAUCAGUCACACUGGAACUGUGACACGGCCCAGAUGCCGACGGGAGGCAGCAGUGGGGAAUAUUGGGCAAUGGGCGAAAGUCUGAUCCAGCCAUGCCGCGUGUGUGAAGAAGGUCUUCGGAUUGUAAAGCACUUUAGGUUGGGAAGCGUUACCAACAGAAUAAGCACCGGCUAACUUCGUGCCAGCCGCCGCGGUAAUAC